rnacentral:rRNA from 1 species
UUCUGCAGUUAUAAUGCCAUGGGCUGUGGUCUCAUGAGAACGCAUAAUCUAAGCAGGGUUGGGCCUGGUCAAUUCUUAGAUGGGAGACUUCAAAGGAAAAUUCAAAUGCUGCAGGAA